UGGAAAAGCUCUCUGGACUCUGCCAUCAGCUCCAAAAUGCCCUGGAUCUCUCCUGCUCCUUCCACCCAGCCUCCUGCCCCAACAGGAGCCACGGGACAGGUCAGGAAACUCAGAGCUGCCAGAGAGCCCUGCCCAAACUGCCCAUGUUUUGUUUGCCUGUAGCUUGUUGUUUUAACAUUUCAUUUCCAUUGUGAACCCUGGACAUCAACUUGUUUUUCCUUUCUCCCCAAAUCUGUGAGCUCUGGGUGCAAACCAGGGAUCCCUCCUGCUCACAGCUGAGGGGUUUGGAGCCAGGGAGAAUGCCCUGAGUUCCUCCCAUGUGUAGCUGCAAACAUUCCCCAGGUCGUGGUUUCAGGAAAGGUGGGGGUUGUGUUCAGGUGAGGGUUGGAUUGGGGUUACAGCCCCGGCCAGCCUGAAGGGGCCCCAGGAGAGCUGGAGAGGGAAUUUGGGCAAGGCCUGGAGGGACAGGACACAGGGAAUGGCUUCCACUGCCAGAGGGCAGGGAUGGAUGGGAUAUUGGGAAGGAAUUACUCCUUGUAGGAGUGCUGAGGCCCUGGCACAGGUGCCCAGAGCAGCUGUGGCUGCCCCUGCAUCCCUGGAAGUGUCCAAGGCCAGGCUGGGCAGGGCUUGCAGCAGCCUGGGACAGGGGAAGUGGAGCUGUAUUGGAUGAGCUUUCAGGUCUUUUCCAGCCCAGACCAUUCCAGGAUUCUGUUGCCAAUGGUUGCUGCAGGACAUUUGUGGGGGUCAGGUGUUCAUUUCAGGGCUUUCCUUCAUUUCUGAAAAUCUGGCUCUAAAGCUGCUCCAAGCCACGCUUCCCAUCUGGUGCUCUGGGCUCAGCAAUGCCCCUUGGCAUCAGCCCUUCACUCUUGACCCCAUUUCCAGAACAUGCUCUCCCAGGAGUUCUCCUUGUGCAAACCUUCCCCAGCCUGGCUGUAGCUCUCCUGGGGAACAGGAGCCUUUGCUCAAUCCCACAGGGCAGAUCCCUGCUCUGCCCUGGAGCCUGUUCCACACCCUUCCCUGUCUCCAAUAAACCUGUCUGGAGCCAAACCUGCCUCCUCUGGGCCUUCAGGGCAGCAGCUGGUGGGAGCCUGAGCAUGUUUGGGUUCAGACUGAGAGAGGGGAAGUUCAGGCUGGGUAUAAGGAAGGAACUGUUCCUUGUGAGGGUGGGCAGGCCCUGGCACAGAGUGCCCAGAGAAGCUUGGAGCAGUCUGGGCUGGUGGAAGGUGUCCCUGCCCAUGGCAGGGGGUGGAGCAGGGUGAGCUUUUAGAUCCCUUCCCACCCAAACCAUUCCAUGGUUCUCCAUUUGUCCCUCCAACAGCUCCACUUCCACCCCUGCAGUGUUUUCCACAGCACAGGUGCCCUGUCUGUGUGAUGUUGUGCUGAUAGGAAAAUCCAGGUGCUCUGUACCUGCAAACAGCUCAAACUCCUCCCCAGCUGAGCUUGGAGCUGCUGGAGAGCUCUGCCCUUGGGCCAGCUCCAGGCUCCAGCUGCUGGUUCCUACCCUCCUGUAAUCCCAAACCCUCCCAUUCCCCCAUCCCAUGCUUUAUGUACCUCCAUGGUAAUUCCUGCUGUGUGUCCCAUGCUGGAUAAUCCCAUUAAACUGGAAUGAGAACAGCCCUUGGGUCAGCUCUUGCUGUUGCACCUCUCAGAAAUCCCAGCCAGCAUUGCAGGGAUCCCUGCACGUCCACAGGUGCUGUUUGUUUAUAGCCCACAUUUCUCAGGAUGUUCCUGCUUGUCCUUCAAGUGUAUCACGGCAUUUCCAGCUCACCCAUAACAUUCCUCCUUGUUUAGACACAGCUCAAGGCUUGGGAGAUGUGGCCAGCAGCUCCCUCAGAGGGGAGCUCAGGGCUGGCAGCAGCUGUGGGUCUGUCAGCACAGAUAAAACCAGGAGCUCCCCGUUUGCUGGGGCUGCUCCAGCUCUGCUUUGGGGCUUCUCCAUGUCCAGAGAAGGGAAUGGAGCUGGGAAGGGGCUGGAGAAUCCUGAGGGAGCUGGGAAAGGGAAUGGAGAAUCCUGAGGGAGCUGGGAAGGGGCUGGGGAAUCUUGAGGGAGCUGGGAAGGGAAUGGAGGAUCCUGAGGGAGCUGGGAAGGGGCUGGAGAAUCCUGAGGGAGCUGGGAAGGGAAUGGAGAAUCCUGAGGGAGCUGGGAAGGGGCUCAGGAGGAUCCUGAGGGAGCUGAGGGGGCUCAGCCUGGAGCAAAGGAGGCUCAGGGGGGCCCUCCUGGCUCUGCACAGCUCCUGCCAGGAGGGGACAGGGAACAGGAACAGGGACAGGAGCAGAGUUGUGCCAGGGGAGAUUGAGGUUGAAUAUCAGGGAAUUUUAUUCAUGGGAAGGGUGAAAAGCACUGGCACAGGGCAGUGGUGAUAUCCCCAGCCCUGAAGUGUUGAAACCCACGGGGAUGUGGCAUUGGGGUCACCGUGGUGCUGAGGGCUGGAUUUGAUCUCCAAGGUCUUUCCCAGCCUCAGUGGCUUUGAUUGCACCGUUCUGUCCCUGGGGCUGUCAGAGCCCUGCAUUCAGUGUAAAACUCCACCAGAGGAGGGAGUGCAUGGCUGCAGCUCCCUGGCAAUCCUGUCAGCCCUCAAAUCCUUGCGAGGAGCAGCCCUUGGUGGGGUUCUGUGCUGCUUAGGGAGAGUUCCCCCAGGAUCAGAGCUGGGCCUGGCCUGGCCACACUCCUCACUCCCCAGAAUUUGCUCUGGCCACCUCCUCCCUGUCCCCUGCCUGCUGCUCCCUCCUCUGCUCUGUCUCAGCUGCCCUUUGGAACAUCCUGCUUUGCCCCUGAACUUGCUCUGAGCAGCCACGGGGUUUGUCCCCCUCCCAGCACAGCAAAGCCUCAUUCCUCAUUCCUGGAGUGAUCUCAGGACACUGAUCCUGGAGGGAAACGUUGCACUUGAAAGCAACUGAGCCUCUCAAGCCUCCCAGCUCUGCCCCUGAGGCUCUGUUAUCAUCCCACCCUCCGUGCAGAGAAGCUUCUAAAAUGGAUGGAACUAAUAAUGGUGGAGGAGCUCGGGCUGCACUUCAGGCUCUGGAGCCUUGAUUUCAAAUCCUGCAGCGACAAAUGGAUUAUUUCCGUGGCAAAUUGCUCCCUGGGGAGCAGCAAUUUGGGGAGCUGAAUGCUGGAACUGGGAAGCUGCAGAUCAAUUCCCAACACUUGGAGCCAAGGUUAAUGCCCUGCAAACUGCCCUGAGUGCAGCAGUGAGGAGAGCACGGCCCUGCCUGGCCAAGGGGGCCUCAGGAAUGUUCCAAGGGAAAAUGGGGAAUUCUGGUACCAGGGAAGUGAGCGAGUCCCAUGGAUUUGCUGGAAAAACCUGGGGGCUGUUCUGGGCCAGUCACAGUGGGAUUUGACUACAAGAAGUGGAAGGAGGCUGUGGGACUUGGGACAGUGGCAGCUCCCAUUCCUGUCACCUGCAGCCCUUCCCAGACACCAGGGACAGCAUCCCAAAAUUCCUGUUUCACAUCAAGGAUCUCCUCAAGGUUGGACACUCUUAUUCUCCCCAGUGACAACAGCAUUGAAAUAACCCCAUGAAAGAAUUCCAGCAGCUCAAGAAGGACCUGUGGAAGGGAUAUCAGCCCCUUGCUGAAGGAUCCUGUGGCCUUCAGGACUUUGAUUGAUCUUCUGGAGGAUCAUGUGAGGGCGUCUUUUCCGAAAAUCGACUUCAUUGUGGGCUGAGCUGGAAGUCCAGAGCGAUGCUGUGGAGCCAGGACAGAAAGUGGUGAUUGUGGAUGACCUGCUGGCAACUGGAG